rnacentral:rRNA from 1 species
GACGAACGCUGGCGGCGUGCUUAACACAUGCAAGUCGAACGAUGAAGCCGGAGCUUGCUCUGGUGAAUUAGUGGCGAACGGGUGAGUAACACGUGAGUAACCUGCCCUUGACUCUGGGAUAACUGCUAGAAAUGGUAGCUAAUACCGGAUACGACCCUCGGAGGCAUCUCCAGGGGGUGGAAAGAAUUUCGGUCAAGGAUGGACUCGCGGCCUAUCAGCUAGUUGGUGAGGUAACGGCUCACCAAGGCGAAGACGGGUAGCCGGCCUGAGAGGCUGAGCGGCCACACGGGGCCUGAGACACGGCCCAGACGCCUACGGGAGGCAGCAGUGGGGAAUAUUGCACAAUGGGCGCAAGCCUGAUGCAGCAACGCCGCGUGUGGGAUGACGGCCUUCGGGUUGUAAACCUCUUUUAGUAGGGAAGAAGCGAAAGUGACGGUACCUGCAGAAAAAGCACCGGCUAACUACGUGCCAGCCGCCGCAGUAA